rnacentral:rRNA from 1 species
UACAGAGGUCUCAAGCGUUGUUCGGGAUUCAUUGGGCGUAAAGGGUGCGUAGGCGGCGCGGUAAGUCGGGUGUGAAAUCUUGGAGCUUAACUCCGAAACUGCAUUCGAUACUGCCGUGCUUGAGGACUGGAGAGGAGACUGGAAUUUACGGUGUAGCGGUGAAAUGCGUAGAUAUCGUAAGGAAGACCAGUGGCGAAGGCGGGUCU